GUGUAAUGGGAUGUAUAUGGUGUUUGAUUUUAGUGACCCAGUUCCGGGCGGGAUAGAUAUGGUAUUCGCGUCGUCGUCCCGCUCCGAAUCGAUUAUCCGUUAAAAAUUAAAGAUAAAAUUGGUUAAUUGGACUUUCCAUUAUAAAUUGUCUAACUCAAAAUUUAUGGCCCAUUACCGACUCAUUAAGUAACCUAACCCAGUUACAAUUUACCCACUAAGUACUAACCUUAUUACAAAGAAAAUUAGAAUCGAAUUCAACAAGUUAUUAGUCGACAACUAUCUUUAUUCGAGUCUCUGCACCGUGUCCCCAAAUUUUUUUUUCUUCACAAUGUAUUCUUUUUUACUCGUCAUCGCCACCCCAAGUAGGAGAGUAUUUUAUUGCUAAUUUCUUCUCUCUUUUGUAUGUAGAAAAUUCUACUCCAUUGUACUCCGGAGCUUAUGUAUGAUUUGGUGAUGAGGAUAUUGACGAAGAGAGGGAUUAGCUUUAAAUUUCGACGAAUGCUAGUAAGAGUUGUAGAGAAGAAUGAAGAUUGAAUAUGAAUUAAAUUUGGAACUUUUGAGUUAUUGAAUAGGAAUCGAGUUCGACGAACAAAGACUAAGGGACAAAGAUAUUGUUUAGUAUUUUUAUGUUGAUAGUAUUGUUUGUUAAAUUCGAAUUUUACAUUUGAAAA